UACGGGGGGCAAGCGUUGUUCGGAAUUACUGGGCGUAAAGGGCUCGUAGGCGGCCAACUAAGUCAUACGUGAAAUCCCCGGCUUAACCGGGGAACUGCGUCUGAUACUGGAUGGCUUGAGUUCGGGAGAGGGAUGCGGAAUUCCAGGUGUAGCGGUGAAAUGCGUAGAUAUCUGGAGGAACACCGGUGGCGAAGGCGGGUCUCUGGGCCGACUACUGACGCUGAGAAGCGAAAGCAUGGGGAGCGAAACAGG
rnacentral:rRNA from 1 species